rnacentral:rRNA from 1 species
GACGAACGCUGGCGGCGUGCCUAAUACAUGCAAGUAGAACGCUGAAGCGAGGAGCUUGCUCUUCUUGGAUGAGUUGCGAACGGGUGAGUAACGCGUAGGUAACCUGCCUGGUAGCGGGGGAUAACUAUUGGAAACGAUAGCUAAUACCGCAUAAAAUGGCUUAUCGCAUGAUAAUCCAUUGAAAGGUGCAAAUGCAUCACUACCAGAUGGACCUGCGUUGUAUUAGCUAGUUGGUGGGGUAACGGCCCACCAAGGCGACGUUACAUAGCCGCCCUGAGAGGUGGUCCACCCACCCUGGACCGGGGCCACGCCCCAGAUCCCUCCGGGAGGAGGCGGUGGGGAUUUUUGGACAAUGGGCGAAGGCCUACCGCGGCACUCCGGGGUGGUUGAGGAAGGUUUUGGGUUUUUAAGGCCCGUUUUUUGGGAAGAACGAGUGGGAGGUUAGAACCUUGCCGUUGUGACGGUACCUUAAGAGAAAGCGCCGGCUAACUUCGUG